rnacentral:misc_RNA from 1 species
GAUGAAGAACGUAGCGAAAUGCGAUAAGUAGUGUGAAUUGCAGAAUUCAGUGAAUCAUCGAGUCUUUGAACGCACAUUGCGCCCCCUGGUAUUCCGGGGGGCAUGCCUGUCCGAGCGUCAUUGCUGCCCAUCAAGCGCGGCUUGUGUGUUGGGCCGCCGUCCGCCUUCCCCCCCGGGGGGAGGGGGACGGGCCCGAAAGGCAGCGGCGGCACCGCGUCCGGUCCUCGAGCGUAUGGGGCUCUGUCACCCGCUCUGGAGGCCCGGCCGGCGCCCGCCGACCCCCAACCUUCUUCUAACCAGGUUGACCUCGGAUCAGGUAGGGAUACCCGCUGAACUUAAGCAUAUCAAUAAGCGGAGGA